rnacentral:tRNA from 2 species
GCCGGAGUGGCGGAAUGGCAGACGCGCCGGAUUCAAAAUCCGGUACCCCCUAAAGGUGUGUGGGUUCAAGUCCCUCCUCCGGCA